CCCUUAGAUGUCCGGGGCUGCACGCGCGCUACACUGAAGGAAUCAGCGUGCUAAAACCAUUGUCGAAAGGCAUUGGUAAACCCAUUAAAAUCCUACGUGAUUGGGAUCGGGAAUUGCAAUUAUUUCCCUUGAACGAGGAAUUCCCAGUAAGUGUGGGUCAUAAGCUCGCGUUGAUUACGUCCCUGCCCUUUGUACACACCGCCCGUCGCUGCCCGGGACUGAGCUGUUUCGAGAAAAGCGGGGACUGCUGCUGUCGGGGCUUUCGGGCCUUGGCUUCGGUGGAAACCGCUUUAAUCGCAGUGGCUUGAACCGGGCAAAAGUCGUAACA
rnacentral:rRNA from 1 species